rnacentral:rRNA from 1 species
GUGCCUAAUACAUGCAAGUCGUACGCUUCUUUUUCCACCGGAGCUUGCUCCACCGGAAAAAGAAGAGUGGCGAACGGGUGAGUAACACGUGGGUAACCUGCCCAUCAGAAGGGGAUAACACUUGGAAACAGGUGCUAAUACCGUAUAACAAUCGAAACCGCAUGGUUUUGAUUUGAAAGGCGCUUUCGGGUGUCGCUGAUGGAUGGACCCGCGGUGCAUUAGCUAGUUGGUGAGGUAACGGCUCACCAAGGCCACGAUGCAUAGCCGACCUGAGAGGGUGAUCGGCCACAUUGGGACUGAGACACGGCCCAAACUCCUACGGGAGGCAGCAGUAGGGAAUCUUCGGCAAUGGACGAAAGUCUGACCGAGCAACGCCGCGUGAGUGAAGAAGGUUUUCGGAUCGUAAAACUCUGUUGUUAGAGAAGAACAAGGAUGAGAGUAACUGUUCAUCCCUUGACGGUAUCUAACCAGAAAGCCACGGCUAACUACGUGCCAGCAGCCGCGGUAAUACGUAGGUGGCAAGCGUUGUCCGGAUUUAUUGGGCGUAAAGCGAGCGCAGGCGGUUUCUUAAGUCUGAUGUGAAAGCCCCCGGCUCAACCGGGGAGGGUCAUUGGAAACUGGGAGACUUGAGUGCAGAAGAGGAGAGUGGAAUUCCAUGUGUAGCGGUGAAAUGCGUAGAUAUAUGGAGGAACACCAGUGGCGAAGGCGGCUCUCUGGUCUGUAACUGACGCUGAGGCUCGAAAGCGUGGGGAGCAAACAGGAUUAGAUACCCUGGUAGUCCACGCCGUAAACGAUGAGUGCUAAGUGUUGGAGGGUUUCCGCCCUUCAGUGCUGCAGCUAACGCAUUAAGCACUCCGCCUGGGGAGUACGACCGCAAGGUUGAAACUCAAAGGAAUUGACGGGGGCCCGCACAAGCGGUGGAGCAUGUGGUUUAAUUCGAAGCAACGCGAAGAACCUUACCAGGUCUUGACAUCCUUUGACCACUCUAGAGAUAGAGCUUCCCCUUCGGGGGCAAAGUGACAGGUGGUGCAUGGUUGUCGUCAGCUCGUGUCGUGAGAUGUUGGGUUAAGUCCCGCAACGAGCGCAACCCUUAUUGUUAGUUGCCAUCAUUUAGUUGGGCACUCUAGCAAGACUGCCGGUGACAAACCGGAGGAAGGUGGGGAUGACGUCAAAUCAUCAUGCCCCUUAUGACCUGGGCUACACACGUGCUACAAUGGGAAGUACAACGAGUCGCGAAGUCGCGAGGCUAAGCUAAUCUCUUAAAGCUUCUCUCAGUUCGGAUUGUAGGCUGCAACUCGCCUACAUGAAGCCGGAAUCGCUAGUAAUCGCGGAUCAGCACGCCGCGGUGAAUACGUUCCCGGGCCUUGUACACACCGCCCGUCACACCACGAGAGUUUGUAACACCCGAAGUCGGUGAGGUAACCUUUUGGAGCCAGCCGCCUAAGGUGGGAUAGAUGAUUGGGGUGAAGUC